rnacentral:rRNA from 1 species
GGGUCAGUAGGUUGGUCAUGUCACUGGUAUGUACUGGUCUCACUGAUUCCUCCUUCCUGAUGAGCUGUAAUGCCAUUAAUUUGGUGUUGCGGGGAAUCUGGACUGUUACUUUGAAAAAAUCAGAGUGUUUAAAGCAGGCUCACGCUUGAAUACAUUAGCGUGGAAUAAUGAAAUAGGACGUUUGAUUCUAUUUUGUUGGUUUCUAGGAUUGACGUA